rnacentral:lncRNA from 1 species
UCGAGCUUUUUAAGGUUGACCUUGACCUUUUCAAUACAUUCUACGUCUGUUGGAACAUGUAUUUUACAUUACAAAAGGAAAGACCUCUCAAUUGUUCAAGAACAAUUGACAGUUUAAUUAAGGUCUUUCCUUUAUCUAUAAGGAAAGACCUUACUGUAUUUCUUCUGAUUAUUAUUCUUUUUGUUCCGCCAAACUUUGACGAAGUUAGCAGCCUAAACCGUAAGACGUGUCGCUUUCAUGUUCACACUUUGUAUCGGUGUCAUGAAUACCUAUCCGGAACUCACCCUGUGAGUCGAAAUAUUUUGUCGGUUCGGAGUAAUCCCUCCGAAACCCAAAAAACCUUGUUAUCGUUCCAACACCGUAACCGUAAUAGGUAGAAAAAAAACAAAGGGUGAAAUUUGUUCAGGACCAGACCCCGGUUCUUCGUUACAUUUGGAUCGAAAAGAUUCAACGACUCAUUGGUAGGGUUAUGCCCCUAUGAAAAUUAACCGGUGUCGGUUGGACCACCAAAACUCAGAAACCGUAAGUCGUAGACACCUAGGAUCUUCACCAAUCAUCAUCAAUUCAUGUAUCUUUGAAAAAUACCUCAAGGUCAAAUUUGUAUGUUGACCUUGACCUUUGACCUAACACCUUGUUAUGGGAUAAUCUCAGAAACCAUUAUACUUACAGAAGUUUUAAAUAGUGGAAAAUGUUUGGGUCAUUAUGGCGCAACUUUGUUACAUUUUGACCAAAGAGAUUUGACCUUUUUAUAAGGGGCAUAACCCCUGUUUUAGGUUUCUGAAAAGACAAAAUCAGCUUUUACUAUAUAACCAAAGGUACUAUAUAACCAAAGGUCCUAGACCCUUGGGGUCUUCAGCAAUGACAUUGGUCAGUUGUCAAUUGAAAUUUGGGAACCUCACCUCUUUGUGAGUCGAAAUAUUUUGUCGGUUCGGAGUAAUCCCUCCGAAACCAAAAACCUUGUUAUCGUUCCAACACCGUAACCGUAAUAGGUAGAAAAAAAAAAGGGUGAAAUUUGUUCAGGACCAGACCCCGGUUCUUCGUUACAUUUGGAUCGAAAAGAUUCAACGACUCAUUGGUAGGGUUAUGCCCCUAUGAAAAUUAACCGGUGUCGGUUGGCCACCAAAACUCAGAAACCGUAAGUCGUAGACACCUAGGAUCUUCACCAAUCAUCAUCAAUUCAUGUAUCUUUGAAAAAAUACCUCAAGGUCAAAUUUGUAUGUUGACCUUGACCUUUGACCUAACACCUUGUUAUGGGAUAAUCUCAGAAACCAUUAUACUUACAGAAGUUUUAAAUAGUGGAAAAUGUUUGGGUCAUUAUGGCGCAACUUUGUUACAUUUUGACCAAAGAGAUUUGACCUUUCUAUAAGGGGCAUAACCCCUGUUUUAGGUUUUUGAAAAGACAAAAUCAGCUUUUACUAUAUAACCAAAGGUCCUAGACCCUUGGGGUCUUCAGUAAUGGCAUUGGGGACUAAUGACCUUGACAAAGGUCAAAAGGUCAAAGGUCAAGGUCAUGUCCCAGAUAGCGAAUUUAGUGUUUUUAACCUUAUUUAAAGGAUUUUUAGUGUGUUUUCGAGCUUUUUAAGGUUGACCUUGACCUUUUCAAUACAUUCUACGUCUGUUGGAACAUGUAUUUUACAUUAAAAAAGGAAAGACCUCUCAAUUGUUCAAGAACAAUUGACAGUUUAAUAUUAUAUAUAUAAUUCUUCUCAAACUUGCCAAACAAUGUUAAAUCUUGAAAUCAGGAACGCUUUAAGGCAAAUAUUUGAAAUCCGAAGAUGUAUAGGUACCGAAACCGUUGAAGAGUUAUAUAUAAAAAAAUACCUAAAAUAAAUAGUCAAAUCCAUCUAAAGCCAACUCUGCCUGAGGGAGUUGAAACCUUAGGUUCUCAAUAAUUAGAAAAUUUAUAAAUGGACAAUUUUAGUAAAGUUUGUUGAAUCAUGUCAGUACAGAAAUUCUGACUACUGAGCUGAUGAAACCCUCGGGAAUACUUACUUCUGUGACAUCAUUGCAACACCGCCUGUGCCGUUUCCAGUGCACUAGACCACUCGGCCAACUAUGCUGCACAACAAUAUAGAUUUCGGUGGUCGAUGUAAUGUCUUUCCUCGUUGGCAUUAUCUAGAGUUGUUACACAAUACAUGAUGUAAAGUGGCAAAUAGAUUGUGUACGUUUAUAGAGUCUAUCCUAAAUUGAGGUAAAGUAUAUGGCCUUUGAAAUAUCUUUUCGAUUCCUCACAUCACUAAAACAUUAAUUGUCAAAAUCCGGAUAUGGUGUACUAAUUUUUGCACCUUUUGUUUGCGGUAUACCAUGUUUUCUGCAAGUUUAUUAUUUUAUGUUUAUUAUUAAGUCCAAAGUCAGAAGUCUCUGGCCUUUGUUAGUCUUGUAUGAUUUUUCUUUUUAGUUUCUUGUGUAUAAUUAUGAGUUUAGUAUGACGUACAUUAUCACUGAAAUAGUAUACAUAUUUGUUCAGGGGCCAGCUGAAGGACACCUCCGGGUGCGGGAGUUUCUCGCUGCAUAGGAGAUUAAUUGAUGACCUUUGGCCUUUGUCUGCUCUAUGGUCGGGUUGUUGUCUCUUUGACACAUUCCCUAUUUCCAUUUUCUAUUCUAUUUUAUUUGAUUUAUGCAGAGUUUAUUAUUAGAUAAUUUAGACAUCUAUACAGUAUUUUAAAACAGUUCUAUUGAUAUAUUUCUCAUCUGUUCAUUUGUGCCAACCAUUUAACUAGUAAAAUGCAUGUACUUAUUUUGUCUUCUUGCUACAAUCUAAUCUUUAUAGUACAUGUUUCGUGAUUUUUUUUUUUUUUGCAUUGUCUUCAGAUAAUAAAGAGAUUUUAUGUAAUUAUAGUAUUUGAAGAUAUUGUAGUUAUAUUUUAAUCUUUUUAUGUCCCCUUUGAAUGUUUUGGUAAUAUUGCUUCUUAAACAUCUACGUAUACCUAUUUAUACAUACUUUCAAAUUAAUAGUAUUGAGAGUUUCAAUGAAGACUAAUCUAGAAAAACGUUCCAGAAACAAGAAAUUAAUCAGGAGUAUUUUCAAUAAUGACUACUUCACACUUAUCGAUAAAAGUUUUCGUGUGCAGGACACAGCGGCAACACAAAUUGUCAUCAGAUAAGGUUCAGACAAAAAAUGCAAAAACCUUUGGGAACAUCAAACGCAAUUGUAUAAAAUGUAUAAAUCAACUUUGGCUUUAGAUACUGCAAUUUUAAGUUUGUUAUGUUAAAAACGAAAGGGUUUAUAAUACAAUCUAGCAUUUAAACUAUAGGAAUACCGACGCACUUACAUGUUGGUGGAUGAUAUCUCCUCGGAUUGACAGUUCGAUAGCAGCUGGGAAGUUGGAUAAUACUCUUGUUCUAAAUAAUCACAUUUGCAAUUUAUUUCCAGUAAAUUCAUCAUAGAUACCAGGAUAAGAAUUGUAUACGCCAGAAGUUCUUUCCUUUACGGUUAUCCUUAAAUUUAUAUAGUAUUUCAAAUUAAUGUAGGGUAUGCCUGUCAUAGUUUUCAAAUUUCCUGGGCUGGAAUGACUUUACAGGUAAAUCUGAUACUUUUACAAAUAGAAAAACAUGUAGUUUGUAAUGACAAAAGGGUUUACGUAAAUUCGCUAUGAUCAAUUACCAAGUUUACUAUAGAACACAAAUGACCUGAAAUAAGGAGAAAUAUGACUGUAAUCGAUUUGACAAAACAACACUAUAAACUUUAAUUUAUUCUUCAGAUUGACACAAAAGAGAAAGGAGAGGUAGACCAGCAAAAAGGGAAAGACGGUAUGUUUUGCGUAACAAAUGGUCAUGUAUGGGCAAUUCUAGUUAGCAAUAUACAUUUGGAAUAAAUAAGUUACAAACAGUUCUAGACAAUUCAAACACUAAACGGUUUUCGAACAUUUCUAACCUAGAAUAGAUUUUGACAAUCUUAACAUUAACCAUUUAAACAGUAGUAAACUUAAACACUUUUUGACAGUUCUAACCUAGAACAAAGUUCGACACUUCUAUCCGUGAACAAUUUUAGACAGUCAUAAUGUAGAACUACCUUGUGACAGCUCUAUCUAUUUUUUUUUUCAUUUACUUUAUCUUAACUAUUUUAUUGUUUUCUUUUUUUCUAAUUUUCUUAUAUCUUUGUUUGUUUAUUUUCUUUUUCUAUUUUUUUCUAAUUAUUUAAUCUAUAUUAUUUGAAAUAUAAUAUUCUUAAUCUCGUUGUUUAUUAUAAUGUAGUAUUGUUUAUUUGUUACUUUGGAACUUUUACAUUUUUUGUAAAUUGUUCAGCUUUAUGAACUUUGUUAAUAUUAGAACUCGCCAAAAUUAAACUAUACCACACAUGUACCAUGAUAUUAGAUUUUAUAAUAACAGAUACACUCUGGUAUAAAACACUCACCGUGUAAAUUCAAAAUUUUUCCUGAAAUAAACAUCCAAAAGUGAACCUUUUGUACAAAUGUCUUCGACUUUUUAAAGAUAAUUUAUUAAUUGUACUAGUAUUUUGUUUCAUAAUAAUUUCAAAAAAAUAAUUCAAGUAUAUCUCUUUAGUUUUGGUUGAAAAUUAUGUAUUAAGUUAAACAUGAAAAAUAACAGAACAAAAAGAAACAUGUAAGACUGCAAUACUUUUUACAUUUUAAUCCUUUUUUUCUAAAUAUUCAUCACCGGGAAAGUCCAAAUAAAUUCCACUAGUCUAAACCAUGAUCAGAGAGCUGAUAUUUUGACAUAACUAGAUAUUGACAAUGAUUUAUGCAACAUUGCCAGAGCGCCUGCAUACGGAGUAGAUAUCUCCCAGUUGAUGUGCUAUUCCAGGGCUUUUAUUUCAUAUCAUCAUUUCCUGAAUAGGGGUUGCUGCUUACAAGGAAGCUAUUAAAUCAAGAGUUCCAAGUUGUGAGGUUGAAAUCCUCCUUAAAAUCCUCUUUUCGUCAAUUUAACGGACUCCAUAAUAAGUUAGUUGAUCGUUAUGGAAUGUUUCACAAUUGACGACAGAAAUAUUCCAAUUGUUGUAACCACAAUCCCGUCCUCUGUUCUCAGAAUGGGGCCGAUCGAAUAAGACCUUUCGUCCGGUAUGAACUUACAUGAGCACCACGACAUGGGCAACAUGUUGAUCAGGAUCUUCUUACCCGUCUAGAGCAUAUGAGAUUACCACCGGUUUGUGGUGCUCAGUCUAGUUUUCUAUGAUGGGUUUUGCUGUUGUUUGUCUUUGGGCAUGUUUCUUUUUUCUUUUGCUAUGGCAUUGUCAGUUGUGAGUUUAAAAUUCCCUUUGGUAUCAUUUGCCUUUCUUUGAAAACUGCUCUACUGUAAAACAUAUUCUGAUAUAUUUGGACUUUUAUCAUGAUAGAACAGUUUAUACAGUUCUACAUUUAAACUUAUACCGUUAGGUCUUGCCAUGGAACUGAUUCUGACAUUUCUAUCCUAGAACUGUUUAUUUUCAUUUUAUAUUUAGGGGUUAUAACUUGUCACAAUUGUGUCAUAAUGUCUUUCACAUAUAUAUUCUGAACUGCUUGUCAAGGAAGCGUCUCAUGACCACUACACGCAAUGAUCUUUCGUCUAUUUGUUUUAGCAUUUCUUUAAUAAAUUUUCUCUAACACAUCUCAAUAAGUAUUGGGGUUUAACAUUUAUUUUUCCAGUCUAUCACAUUCAUCACAACAUGUAUGGUUUCUUUAAAGAAUUGCACAUGCAUCAUUCGGUUUAUCGAGAAUUUUGUAUAGUAUUGCAUAGGAGAAAAGUCUGUUAAUUUGAGUAUUAUAGGUCCGUUGAUCUGGCAUAUUCAACAAAAUGUUUCAAGUGCGUUUUCUAGAUUUCAUAGUAUUACAAUUUUUAUCAAAUUCUGUCGCUUUAAAAUAUGUUAUAAUUGAGACAUAAAUGAGAAAUCGAUGAAGACAAGUUACUUAUAAGAGAAUGUGAAAAAAAGGCAUCGCUCUAGGUUUUGUUAGUAGCAUUUUAGACUUAAUUCAAACCAUUACCUGAAUUACGAUUUACCAUGAAAUGAUCACAAUUAACAUCUUUAGUUUUUAAGAAGUUCACUUUUAAUAAUAUGUGUGUUUUUGAGUAACAUCAUUUAUAAAGGGUGGUUUCCAUUUAUUUGCACGAGGUCAAUAGCACUUAUGAUUGAUUUUAAGCCCCUGUGUGUAUAACAACCUCUUAUCAGUGCUUCGGAAUAACAAAAGUUAUUUUGGUAUCUCUUGAAGGUUUAUCUAAAAGCAUCAUUGCUCUCAUUAAUUAACAGUGACCAUAUUUGAUAUUUAUGAUAAACAUUUUAUAACAGUACCAUAAAUAAGAAGCUUUUGUUAAUUAAGGAUGAUUUGUAUAAUAUACAAAAAAUGACAGCUAUAUUGGUACACAAUGACACAAAUUUUGGACAAGAACUAUGUUGUGAUAAUAUUUCCUGUUUGUUUUCAAAAUACUGACAACAUUAUUGAUCCCUCAUUAAAAUUCAAAAUCCAAUUUUGAUAUCUAUGGAUGAUUUUUAUAGCAAUAAUUUGCCUGCAUCAAUUAACACUGACCAUAUUUUAACGUACAACGAACAAGAGGCUCUCAAGAGUCUUAAUCGCCCACCUGUAAUUUUUUGCUUAAAUUUUUCAUCAAUGAUUUUUUUUGGGGCUUUUAAAUAUGAAAUAAUGAAUGACCUAAAACUUCCAUUGAAAUGUUCUUUGAAUCUGUCAUAGUAUCUUCAAACUGAAAAAAGGCAAUUUAUCCCUAUGUUCCUUUUUUGACUUUUUUUUUUUUAUUUUUAAAGUUAGCAAACUAAAUGAAAAAUUGUGAAAAAUUGAUUUUAAAGGGCAUUUACUCCUUAAGGGGACUAUUGACAAUUUUGAUCAAAUAAACUUUUUUGUAGAUCUUUGCUGAACAUUUUGUUCUAUUCACAGUUUAUCUUUAUUAUUAAUAAUAUUAUUAUAUAAAUAGAUAUAACCAGAAACUGCAAAAUUUCCUAAAAAUUACAAAUUUAGUGGCAGCAACCUAACAAUAGGUUAUCAGAUUCAAUUGAAAACUUCAGGGCUGAUAUGAACACUUGUACUCCAUAUAANNNNNNNNNNNNNNNNNNNNNNNNNNNNNNNNNNNNNNNNNNNNNNNNNNNNNNNNNNNNNNNNNNNNNNNNNNNNNNNNNNNNNNNNNNNNNNNNNNNNNNNNNNNNNNNNNNNNNNNNNNNNNNNNNNNNNNNNNNNNNNNNNNNNNNNNNNNNNNNNNNNNNNNNNNNNNNNNNNNNNNNNNNNNNNNNNNNNNNNNNNNNNNNNNNNNNNNNNNNNNNNNNNNNNNNNNNNNNNNNNNNNNNNNNNNNNNNNNNNNNNNNNNNNNNNNNNNNNNNNNNNNNNNNNNNNNNNNNNNNNNNNNNNNNNNNNNNNNNNNNNNNNNNNNNNNNNNNNNNNNNNNNNNNNNNNNNNNNNNNNNNNNNNNNNNNNNNNNNNNNNNNNNNNNNNNNNNNNNNNNNNNNNNNNNNNNNNNNNNNNNNNNNNNNNNNNNNNNNNNNNNNNNNNNNNNNNNNNNNNNNNNNNNNNNNNNNNNNNNNNNNNNNNNNNNNNNNNNNNNNNNNNNNNNNNNNNNNNNNNNNNNNNNNNNNNNNNNNNNNNNNNNNNNNNNNNNNNNNNNNNNNNNNNNNNNNNNNNNNNNNNNNNNNNNNNNNNNNNNNNNNNNNNNNNNNNNNNNNNNNNNNNNNNNNNNNNNNNNNNNNNNNNNNNNNNNNNNNNNNNNNNNNNNNNNNNNNNNNNNNNNNNNNNNNNNNNNNNNNNNNNNNNNNNNNNNNNNNNNNNNNNNNNNNNNNNNNNNNNNNNNNNNNNNNNNNNNNNNNNNNNNNNNNNNNNNNNNNNNNNNNNNNNNNNNNNNNNNNNNNNNNNNNNNNNNNNNNNNNNNNNNNNNNNNNNNNNNNNNNNNNNNNNNNNNNNNNNNNNNNNNNNNNNNNNNNNNNNNNNNNNNNNNNNNNNNNNNNNNNNNNNNNNNNNNNNNNNNNNNNNNNNNNNNNNNNNNNNNNNNNNNNNNNNNNNNNNNNNNNNNNNNNNNNNNNNNNNNNNNNNNNNNNNNNNNNNNNNNNNCAUUUAUUAUUUUGAUUUUAGGAAAAUCUGCAUACAGAUAUUCGUAUCAGAUGUUAGAAUGCCAGUUCUUAUUAUUUUGAUACCCACCCAAUUGAAUUAUUUGCAAUAAUAAAAACCUCACAAUUAUUUCUAAAUUUACAGUACAUGUAUUACUUUUCUAAAUACAUUAACACAUAGCUAAUACAGCAACCUAACAACACUUAUAAUAAAUGAAAUUUUAAAUUGCCAUUCUGAAGAAAAUGAUUUUAAGAAAAGUCAAUAGUUUGAUUUGAUAGUUACAACAAUAUGCAUUGUAACAAAUUAUGAAUUUAAGGGGGGUGGGGGGAGGUUAUUAAACAUAUCCGUUGAACAAUUGCUGAACAAAUAAAAUGUAAUAGUCUUGAGUGAGUCACUAAAUCUUUUCUACACAUACACAAACAUAAAGACCACUUUAUUGUUUAUUUUAGAUGAAUUAGAUGACACCAGAGCAAGGGUCCAAAAGAGUGCUGACGAGGCCAUUCUACUCAAAUCCAAAUUAACAGAUGUUCAAAAGAAUGCAGAUGAGAAGUCUGAAAUGGUAGUAGAUCUUCAAGGUAGGCUAUUAAUAUCUGUUAUAACUUGCAAUUAUGUAGAUCAUCUGUAUUGGCUUCUUACCUCAGACUGAUGAGUUGAUAAACUAAUUUUACACUUAGUUUGAGAAUUCAAAACAAUUUAUCAGUUUAUGGAGUUGGUCUGAUAAUUUUCUUUUGACAAACUUAUAUGUUUAUACAUCUCAAUUCGUAAUUUUAUCAUAUUCAGACAAAAAAUUAAAAGCAGAUUUCAGACCAACUUAUGUUAAGAAAAUACAAUAAAAAACAAAAUUAACACAUUAUGACAUAUAAAGGAAAAUUUUAUGUGUGUCAGAAAUUUAGAAUUUCGUUUUUGUUGAGCCAAAAAGCAAGACAUAGGGAUAUCUUGGCAGCAGUAUUUACUAACUUAAAACCUGAAUACUUCAUACUUUGUAUAUAAAGGCCUGAUGUUGUGAAGUUCUUGUCUGUAAUAUGUCCAUUUUCCUUGACUUUAUUUUCAUUGUUCAGUGACUACUUAAAAAAAGUUCAGUUUUUUUGUAAUGAUAAUUUCUCUCUUAGGAUAACUUUAUUUUAAGGACAAUCAACAUAUAAUCAAUGGUCAGUAUAUGAGUAUAGCAGGUCAGACAUUUCAACAUGUGCACUCUUGUUAAAUUGAUUUUUAUAACUAAUAUAUAUUUAAAUUACAGAACAAUUAAAGAAAGCUGAAACUACAACAAAAGAAGUAAAACAACAGAUAUUAGAUUUACGAGGUAUGAUUAUUUAUAAACUUAAUGAUAGGGUGCAUGAGGCUUGUUUAUAACAUCACAUUCUUCAUUUACCAUUUCAAUUUUGUCAGUAUAUAUAAAAUAAAUGACCAUUUCAAAUUUCAAUGAAACUGGUAACAGUAAACUGUUACAUACUUUUAAAUGAAUGACUAAACUGUUUUACUAACUAAAUUUGUUCCUUGAAAGAAGUCUUUGUUUUUUAAAAAUUUUCACCAAAACAAAAAAUAAAUGUUUUCAAUGUAACACUCUGAACUUAAUGCACACUGCAUAGUGAUAAUGUGCAAAAAAAUUAUUUCCAUGUAUAAUAUAUUCAAUUUAAUACUCUGAACUUAAUGCACAUUGCAUAGUGAUAAUGUGUAAAGAAAUAAUUUCAAUGUAAUGCUCUAACUUCAUGCAUACAACAUAGUAAUAACGUGUAAAGAAUUGAUUUCAAUGUAAUGCUCUGAACUUAGUGCACACUGCAUAUCUAUAAUGUGUAACAAAAAUAUUUCAAGGUAUAAUUUUCCAAACAGCUAAUUCCCUGCAUUGUAAAUACAUGUAAAGAAAUGAUUUCAAGGUAAUACACUGAACUUAAUGCAUACAUGUAAUAUUUUUGAAUUUAAUGUCCACUAGUUUUAAACCUAUUUUUUUAUACUAGUGGAUUGGGAAAAAAGUUAUUACAACUUAUUUAUUAAUUUAAUCCCUUUCCACAUUGUGGGUGUGAGUGCUGCCUUGUACACAAAAGUUUAUGUGUAAAAAGAAAUUCCAUACAUAUCAUUUCCAAACAUGUUAUCCACUGCAUUGUAACUACAAUUGAAUAAAAUGAUAUGAAUGUUAUAUUUCCUAACCUAACAUUUGACAUAACCACUGCAUGCUUCACUGUUUAACAGAUCAGUUACUGGAAGAACAAUCACAUACCAAGACUAACCAAGAGGAUUUAGUUCUGACUAAAAGUGAGUCAUUUCUGUCAACAUAAACCAUCAUUUCUGUCAACAUAAACCAUUGGAAAACUCUAGUAAUUCUAUAGUAUACAUGCAGUUUAUUUAUAAACCAUUGGAACACUCUUAGUAAUUCUAUAGUAUACAUGCAGUUUAUUUGAAAAUUUAAUGUGUGUGACCUGACAUCCAAACUGUAGCUAAGGAACACAUUUGACAUCCAUCUUGCACUUUAUGUUUACGAAUGUAUUUGCAACUCCUUGAAAAUGGCUGGUUAGAAUUCAACAAAACUUGUAGGAACACUUCUUCAGAGCAUGCAUUUGUGUAUUUGUUAUUUUAUAGCAGGGUUUGGACCAAAUUUAAUACUAGCUUAUAGUAUGAUGAGCUCGGCUUGGUUAGUUGACAGGGCAGUGUAAAUAACUCCUUCUACAGCGUCAACUAAAAUCCUGAACCUUUAAAGAAAGACAACACAUUCUGUGCACCUUCUAUUGAAAGUUUAUCUCUUUUCUUCUCUAACUCAGGAACAAAGUAAUGUUUCAGCAAAAUUUAUGAGUGUAAAUAACUCCUUCUACAGCGUCGACUAAAAUCCUGAACCUUCAAAGAAAGACAACACAUUCUGUGCACCUUCUAUUGAAAGUUUAUCUCUUUUUUUUUCUCUAACUCAGGAACAAAGUAAUGUUUCAGCAAAAUUUAUGAGUGAUUGUACCAGUUUAUGUACACAACUCCCUAUAUUUUCAUAUCCCUUACACUUCAUAUGGAGAUUGCACAUAUGUUGGAUUUGUCCACCUACUAUUAUAGAAUUGUUUGAGAAAUUACUUCCUAAUUUCAGAACUUGAAAACUUUUUUUUUUUCAUGAGACAGUUCCAAUAUUUGUUAUCAACUCUUUUUAAUAACGAUCUUUAAAACUUCACAAAAUGAUUGCAUAUGUAUUGAAGUUGUGUACCUACUAUUAUGGAACUAUUUGAAUUAUUUUUUGUUAAGACAUUGCACAUGUGACAUUUGUAUCUUUCAGAAAAUUUAGAACAAGAGAAAUCCAAACACAAGGACACUAGAAAAGAGCUGGAAGAAGCAAAACGUAAUAUUUGUUUACAUGUCACAUUUCAUAUAAUCAAGUCUUUUGAUAAAUCUUAUAACUGUGUAUUAUAUAUAUUGAAUGUUACUAACAUUUACUUAGGAUUAUAUGGGUAUAAAAUAACACAAAAUCAAGAUUUUUUUAUUAUAUAAGUUAUAAAUGGCUUUUCAAACACACUGUCAGCGUAAAAAUUACAAAAUUGCAUACUUUAAUUCAAUAGUAACUUGCGAAAAUUAUAACUUUAAAUUCGAAUUCCUGCUAACUUCUGAUCUUGUAAGCAUUAUCAACAUAUUUUACUGAAAGUUUACAUUUGUGUAAAAAAAACAUUGCCCUUCAUUUUGAGUUUUAAUUUGCAACUUAUGUUGUGAGGUUAUUCUAGUGAUUUUUGUCUCCCCUUCACUGAAUGAAGAUUUUAUAACUUAAUCUGAAUAUUGACACCCCAAUGCUAGAAAUUUGGAUACUCAGUAUCAUGUUGGAUUUGCAAAUGUUCAUUUUAAAACCAUGAAUAAUCAAAAAUAUAUUAAAAUCUUUAAAAAUGAAAGCAAGUAAGUUUGUCCAGGUGGGCACAUUUUUCAAUUUUUUUUUACACUCUUGGUAUUUUGUAUGUGUUUUUUUUGUUCAGCAAAAAACUUCUGUAUAUAAACUCAUCAUAGAUACCAGGACUAAAUUUUGUAUAUACGACAGACGCACGUUUCGUCUACCUUUAAUAUUGCUGCAUAAAAAAAUGAGAAAUUGUGUAAGAUACUAAGAAUUUUUCUAUAUCAUCAAGUAAACUGUAUAUGUUUUACUAACAGAUGGACAUCAGUAUAGUACUGUUAUAUAUUUCACUAAAAUUUAAAAGUUAUUUAUAUAAUUCACCAUAACAUUACAAAUAUUGCAAAGGUUGUGACGGCUAUACACCACUACUCACUUAAUAAAUUGCAGUCUAUAUGUAUGAUUUUUCCCUUGUACUAGGCACCUUGUCAGAAACACAGCAAUCUGCAAAACAAAAUCACAACGAAUCAGAACAACUCAAAAGUAAGUGUUCAACAUCUUUAAAUGUUUUCAGCAUUGUGAAGUACAUUUUUGCCAUGAUUUGCUUUAAUUUUAUCUGGUAAAUUUUUGUAUCAUAUAAUUUUGAUACAUUUCAAAAAUUCUUAAGAGUGAUUAAGCAGAAGGUAUUUCUUUUUUUAUAUUUAUACCCCCGCUUUAAAAAAGGGGGGGUAUACUGUUUUACCUCUGUCUGUCCGUCAGUCCGUCCGUCCAUCAGUCCGUCAGUCCGUCCGUCCGUCAGUCAGUCCGUCCCAUGAAACUUUCGUCACAUUUUUCUCAGGAACUACACAUCCACCCUUUCUGUAAUUUGGUAUCAACAUUUAUAUAUGUCAGCCCUACGUGUGAUGCGUUUUUCAGAUUCAUCACUUGACAACUUCCUGUUUACCGAACACUUGUCUGAUUUUACACAUUAUAGCCAAGUUGAAAAUUUUCGUCACAUUUUUCUCAGGAACUACAAUACAGGAUUUCUGAAAUUUUGGUUUCAGGAUUUAUAUAAGUCAGCUAUACUGUGUGAUGCGUUUUCAGAUUCAUCACUCGACAACUUCCUGUUUACCGAACACUUGUAUGAUUUUACACAUGAUAGCCAAGUUGAAAAUUUUCGUCACAUUUUUCUCAGGAACUACAAUACAAGGAUUUCUGAAAUUUGGUUUCAGGAUUUAUAUAAGUCAGCUAUGCCGUGUGAUGCGUUUUCAGAUUCAUCACUCGACAACUUCCUGUUUACCGAACACUUGCAUAUUUUUACACUAUUAAUAUUAUCCACUUGCGGCGGGGGUAUCAUCAGUGAGCAGUAGCUCGCAGUUUCACUUGUUCUUCCUGUAAAGUACACAAAAAUAUGUUUUAAGAUUAUAAGCCAUUUCAUAAAGUAGAUUUAAAAAGCUUGAGAAUUUGAAAGUAUUUGGUUGGAAUUAUGUUGUUUUGGUUAUUUUAAGCUAUUCUAAAUCAUUCCUUGCAUUUAAUGAAGAUGUAAAAAGUAUUUAUGCAGAAAAUCAAAGUAAGAAAGCAUUAAAUUCAGAGAGUUUUGAUUAUUUUAUUAAUUAAUAAAUCAAAUAAAUGUGCAUGGUUUAUAACUAUUUCAAUUUUGCAUGGUUACUGACAUUUAUUUGUAUGCAUCUACUCUCUAAAUCUUUGGUAAUGUAGACUUCCCUCAUUUUAUACACAUUUUCUUAAAUUGCACGCCACCAUAUUUCACAAAUAUCUUGCAUUUUCCAAAUUAUUGAUAAUCAUGUAUCUUUUUUGGCAUUGUUUAAUGUACUAUUGAACUGGAAUAUAUUGAGGACAUAGUGUAGUUUGUUGUUUAUAUUUCAGUAUAUUGUUUUACACAAUCUGUUUUUCUGCAUGUAUAUAGUUCUUGUAUUUUUAUUACACCUUUAUACACACACAUAUAUAUAUAUUCAUAUACAAAUGUUUGUACGUGUGAAUGCAUUCAAUUAUUUUUUUUAUAACUUUUGCAUUGAGUUUAUUUUUUAAUCUGAAUGUUAUAUGUUUUGCAUGUUUGACUUUUGAUUUCAAAUCAGCAUGUAAGUAAAAGAGGAAACAAGUCUUUUCUUUUCAUUUUAAUAAGAUCCUGACUUUCCAUAUUUUCAUCAUCUUUGCUUACUUUAAUUUCCAGUUAUUGUUGGUGUUGUAAAACUGUCCUUUAUUCUCUCUGAUUAAUUCUUUUGCUUUACGCAUGUCUGUGGUCUUGGCUGUGUGUCUGCAAUGGCUUUUGGUCAAACUCUUUAUCUUAUGGACGGCUAAUAUCAGUCUUAUUUUAUGCCAUGCAGACAAGGUACGUCAUCUUCAGGAACGUCUUGAUUUAGAUAGGAAAGAACGAGCCAGAGAAUCACAUCAUGCUCGACUGACGCACUCAGACUCCCAUCCGGGUUCACAUACUAGCCCCAAUGUUAAACAUCGAGGUAAUAUCAUUGGUAAAUGUCAUUUUAUUGCUUUAUUUUUAUUUUCUAUAGCUUACGCAUUUCUUUAAAGAAACUACAUAAUAAAAACUGAAUAUAAAUUAAGCUUUCAUCAUCAAUUAUUGCAAUUAUACUUAAAUUUUAAUUUCAUAUCAGAAUGCCGUAUUUUUGUUAAAUCAGAAUUUUGGAAAUAGCAUUUGUAAUGCAUAAGAAUUGUUCAGCAUAUGGUAUAUUUGUGCAUGAACCUAUGGUUGUAAUGUGAUUGGCAUCAUUAGAGAAAUUUAAAUUUUUUGAUCUUUUUUGUAUAUUUAAAGGCAAUGUUAGUAAGGGUUAUUCAUUUAGAAUGAGCUUGAACUCACAGUCAUUGUUUUCAACUAUACUUCAAGUCUUUCUUUGGUUUGCUCCUAUUGGUAAUACAUCUUGAUCAAAGGCAAGAUGUUCUUUUUCAUAAAGAAAACUUUUGAUGAAGUUUACAUGGCUUGGACAUUUGUUGAAUGCAGUGUGGUGAUCUCAAGAGCUCUAAUAUUAGUCUUUGGCUAUUAUAUCAAUGGUUUAACCUAUGGUGUUGGUUGAUAUUAGCCCUUCAUCACCUUGAACUCAUUUGUUCUUGAUUAGAUAUUUGUGUAGUUGUUUAGUAAUGAUUGAAAUGGUGAUUUAUCAGGAUUAUCCAGAAUAUUGUCAGUCACCAUGGUAACAACAUUCAAGUUUUCUUGUUGGUAAAUUUUUCCAAAAAAGAUUAUUUUAUGCAAUAUUUUAUUAGAUUUUUUUUGGUAUUUCUGUUAGUAUAUAUUAUUUACCCCUUUCUUGUUUGUUCUACCUUGAGGGGAUACUAUACAGUAAUAAUCCACCAUUGGUCUUUUUCCAUAGAAUUUUGACUCAAAUUUGAGUUUUAAAACUAUCAACACUUACAUUUCAUGUUAUUUUAGUUAGUAGUAUUUGAAAAACUUGGACUCUUUUUUGGCAAUAUUCCAGAAAAUGUUUGAAACUUUUGAUACCCCCAAAAGAUUGAGCCUAGUUUUCAAACUUGUGUGUAGUAUUCUUUAGUUGCUGAAUAAAUGACAUGCAGAGAAAGAAAUGGCAGUUAAUGUGCUAAUUUUAAGAUAUUUAAGGACAAUAUCAUUUUCUUUUCUGUUCAACUAUUGUUUUAUCGCAUUAAGACAACUGUUCACAAUGUUAUUUGCAGCAGCAUUACAUCUCUCCCUUUUUCUACUGUAUUGUGUCCCCUAAAAUGGUGUAUGUUACACAAUUCUUUAAGGAUACAUUUUGCCUAUAUUUUGGGUAUGUUGUUAAGGUGUGAUAAAAAUACAUCCAACUAUAUCUGUGGGUUGUUUUUUUUAAGAUGUGUCUAUUUGAAAUUUUAGUUUCAGUUCAAAUAAACAUAUUUAAAAACAAAUGGUGACUUAUAGCAAUUAAUUUUUUUAUUAGCUGAUUUUGCUGCCUUGAAAGAUGAGUGUGCCAGUUUACGUAAAAGGAUUCAAGCUAUUGAAGCAGAGAUGAAAAUGUAAGUACUAUUCAGUUCUAUAGUUUCUAUACAUAAGUGACAAAGAACUAUGCAAAAGGACAAGGUACGAUAAGGCCUGUUUUUGGCCCCCCUAUUUUCUCAUUUUCUAAAUUUUGCUUUGGAAAGCUACUUAUCACGUUAAAAUAUUCCCUUAAAUUUGAAGUUUGUUUGGAUAAACUUCAAAACAAAAAGGGCAUCAUAAACGGCAAAAGAAGGAAAAAUAACGAUUUUUGGCCAUUGUUUCUUUAAAUGUAAUAGCACGUGCCUACGUGACCCAGAAAAAAUUAUGGCGAUUUAGACAGCAAAAACAGUUCUCAUGACAUUGGAAUAAAAAAUUCCUGGGUCACGUUGGCCCAGGCAAAAUCACCAGCAAAAUGAAUAAUAAUUACAAUAUUUGAAUAAUUACAGAAAGUUAACCCCCCUCACCUCCCCCAGUUGCGAAAAUUAGUGGUUUUAAAGGUCAUCCAAACAAAAUUCAAACAUCAGGGAAUGUUUUAACAUAAUAAGUAGCUUUCCAAAACAGAAUUUGAAAAAUGAGAAAUUAGGGGGCCAAAAACAGGGUUAUUGUACUUGUCCUUUCUUUGAGUUUACAGAAAAAGAAUUUGAUUGCUUAGCAGGCCAAUACGAGAUGGAUUUAACUGUACUAAAAUUCAUGUCAUUUGCAAAGUAGGUUGCACCAUGUUUUUUUUUUAAUUCUUAAAUCAUAAACAACCAGAAUGAAUAUAUUGUAAAAUCAGUAUAGAACUGUUUAUAAUUAUAAUGAUUUAUCUUUUGUAGGUCAAGAAAAGAGAACCUUCAGCUUUCUUCAGAAUACAACAAACUCCAAGAAUCUUAUAAACAAUUAGAGGCCUUAAAACAAAAACUAGAAACAAAAGAAGCUGUGUGGCGGUCGAACAUGACGGACUCACAGAAAGAAACUGACCUUGCCAAACAGGAGGUGAGGCGCAGUCCAAGGGGCAGACAACCCAUUAUGGGAGGUCGCCUAAAAACAUCUGGAGUCACCAAGCCUACUUUGAAAAGUGUUUCUUCUGACCCUAAGUUGUCGUUGAAGGUAUCAUUGUAUUGUUGUUGCUGGAAGCUUCUGUUGUUUAGUUUUAGCGAUGGACCAAUUACUAUUUUCCAUCCAGCUUUUGUUGUUGUAAUGCUGAUGCCUGUUUAGUUGUCAGAUUAUCAUUGAUUUUCUCCUUAUCAUUUACUCAGCCAGGCUUGUUUUGUUUAAUUUGUAAGGUCACAUGAUUUAAUUGCAGUGAAACUCCCCUUAACUUCUAAGCAAACUUAGAAUUAUACUGUUCUCUUUUGUCAGAAUUAAUAUUAGACAGUAUUUAUUUGUUUGGCAUGGUUAAAAUACAAAAAAUAAAUAUCAAAUGAAUUUUAAUUUUAAUUCCAAAUGUAUUUAACUAUAGAAAUGAAGUUAUUUGUUGAAGCAUGCCUGUCCAUUUCUAAUAUUUUUGUUUAUGCAAAUAAUGAUGUGUAUUUUUACCUCAAACAAUAUUUUAAGAAUCGUUGUUAUUCUGUGGCUUAUGCAGUCAGGAAAGCAAAAAUGCUAUUUUGCUAUUUCUCUAGAAUUCUGAUUUUUUUUUACAGUUUGUACAACUUGAUCCAUGAAAGAGUUUUCUUUCUUUUAGAUUUAAGGAACAGUAGAAAUAGAAAUUCUGUUCAUACACAAAAACUUUUAAGCAAAUUUUAUGAAGGACAUGGACAGGCAUGUUUACAGAUUAAUUUUGAAAACUCAGAUUUUAUCAAAAAAAUAAACAUUACAAGAGUUGACUGACAAGUUCAAAUUUUCAGGUCUACUGUUUUAGUUUCACAUCUAUAAAGUUAUCAGGAACCAUUGGUCUUAUCACUAGUGUUGAUUCAUGUGCACAGCUAUUCCUCACAGAUACUGCCAAACAUGCAGACACAUGUUUGGUAUAUAAAUGUGUCUAGAGUAUUUGAAAUAGUUAUCAUCAAACGCUAAGGAAGAUUGCUUUUGUUUUAAGAUUGGUGUAGAUAGUAGCCACUUUAUUUCAUACAAGGAAUAAAAUCAUAAAUAUAUUUAAAAUUUGAUAUUAAAAAAUAAAGAUUGAUUAAGUUUGUAAAAGUACAUUUGUAACUGAAAAUGCAGUCAAUUUAAUUUUAUAAAAUAAACAGCUUAAGAAAUUCCUUAGAGCUUUUAUUUCAUGCAGAGCUGCAUUUUAACAGUUGCUUGGUUUUAGUUUUAAUGCAAUUAAGGCAGAAAGUGAAAAGAUCUUUUUCAUCUUUUAUUGUGUAUGGAAUCCUUGGUAAGCAUUUUUAAUCUGUCCCCAGUCCCUGCUUUUUAAUCAAUAAAUGGUUAUUUCUUGCAAAUCCUAUUGCUACUUCUCCCUGGAUAAUGAUAUACCAUCAUAAGAAUUAUUUCAGAACAUGGUUAUGUGAGGUUAAGCAUAGUAAUUUGAUAAGCAAGGCAUUUGUUUGUUUGAUAUACAUAGAUUUUGCAACACGACAACUUUUUACUAUUUUUUGUUUGGAAUAUUGAUAAGAUUUUAAACUUUUAAAUACCAAUUCAUUCUAUUCUGUUAUGCUGUGACACGUUUUGGAGUAUGUUUCUGAUGUUGCAUGUUAAAAAGUGAUCAUGUAGAUUGAAGUGUCAAUCAGAUGGACAACUGUGUACCCCAAAGACUUUAAAAAGUAGAUUUCUAUAAAAGAAAAAAAUUGUAUUAACAGUUAACAGGAGUCCUAUAAUAUUCUUCAAGUCUUUAAUAUUUAUCCAUUUCAAAUGUAUUGCAGUGUUGCCAUUAAAGUCUUACUUUUCAUAUUUGAUUUUUAUACCUUUUGUGAAUAUAAGACAGAAAACAGUUAUUGAACACUAUAGAAAUUUGAAUCUAACAGACAAUUAAUAACACUGUUCAAUUGUUUUAUUGUCAAUGUUAAGAAGUAAAUGAUGUUCUUUUAAUAUAGAGGAAUUAUUGAAAAAGAAAGUUAAUAAAUUGGAUAUUAUGAGCUUCAGCAUUAAUAUGUAGUGAUGUUUCGUAUUAAGAAAUUUUGUUCAUUAUAUACAGUUUUGAAGUUGAAGAUGGUAGUAAAACAUCUUUUAACUCUAUGAUUUAAAAAGUUAAAUGAAGAUAUUUGUACUGUAAUUAAAACUAUUGUUGAUGCAUUUCAUGAAUAUUAUUUCUGCUUUUCGGCAAACACUUCAUUAAAAUCUGCAUUUUUAUUUAGUUGUGUGAAGCCCAUGAGGAGAUAGCCAGUCUUAAGUCACAAUGUGAAACUUAUUCAGUGAAAAAUGGAGAACUGAAAAGUGAAAUAGCCAAUAUGGCUGAAGAAUAUAAGCAGCUGUCAGAUAGAAGCAAAGUGGUAAGUUCUAACAGAUCAAAUACAUGUUGUAUUCACUUACUGAGGAUUCUUUAGUAUUCAUUGGAUACCAGUUGUCAUGGUUUUCAUGGUUUUAGGUGCACCACCAAAUUCAAAUGUUCAACAAAGUAUAAAUUUCUAUAGGAUAUGUAUGCAGAGAUUGACAAAACCAUGAAAUAAUAUCCAUGUCAAGUUUUCCUCAAUCCAUGACAAUUAUACCCUAGAAAAUAUACAUGAAUCCACAGUACUUGUAUACUUGAAAUGUUUUACUACCUGUACCACUAGUGAACAAGUUCAGUGAUCUUUUAUUGAUAUGGAAAAAUUAAAACAGAAGGUAAUCUUUCAAUACAAUCAAAUCUCUUAAUGAAGAUUAUAAAACUAAUUGUAUUCAUCUUAUUAUACGACCGCAAAAUUUUGCGGUCGUAUAUUGGUAUGACGUUGGCGUCGUCGUCCGAAGACAUUUGGUUUUCGCACUAUAACUUAAGUAUAAGUUAAUAGAAAUCUAUGAAAUUUAAACACAAGGUUUAUGACAACAAAAGGAAGGUUGGGAUUGAUUUUGGAAGUUUUGGUCCCAACAGUUUAAGAAUUAGGGGCCAAAAAAGGGUCUGAUAAGUUUUUUUCUUGGUUUUUGCACAAUAACUCUAGUAUAAUUAAAUAGAAAUCUAUGAAAUUUAAACACAAGGUUUAUGACCACGAAAGGAAGGUUGGGAUUGAUUUUGGGAGUUUUGGUUCCAACAGUUUAGGAAUUAGGGGCCAAAGGGGUCCAAAAUUAAACUUUGUUUGAUUUCAUCAAAAAUUGAACUAUGGGGGUUCUUUGAUAUGCCGAAUAUAACCGUGUAUUUAGAUUCUUAAUUUUUGGUCCCGUUUUCAAAUUGAUGGAUAAUUACUUAAGUACAAAACAUAAUUUAAAACCAGUGUAAGGUUGGUAAUUGAAACUCAUUUGAAUAUCUCACCUAAACUGCUUUUGAAUUAUGUAUAUUUGAAAUUUGCCAAAAACUUUAAUAUUAAUAAAUUCCAUUAGAAAUUUGCCAAUAACUUUAAGUUAAAUGAACUUCAUUGGAAAUUUGCCAAUAUAAAAUGUUGCUGAUGAAGGUUUUUUGUUUAUCUCACCUUAACUGCUUUUAAAUUAUGUACAUUGGAAAUUUGCCAAUAACUUUAGUUUAAUAAACUUCAUUGGAAAUUUGCCAAUAUAAAAUGUUGCUGAUGAAUCUUUUUUGUUUAUUUUUAGCUAUGAUUAUUAUUCUUUGAAAAUUGGAGUUAUCUUUUUUUGUCCAGAAUAGUAGUUGAAUCAACUUAAAUCAAUGCUAUAUACAAUAUACAAUGCAAUAUUCACUUUUACUACCAACUGAUAAAUUAAAACAAUCUUUGCCAUUCAGUGAUUACAAGCACUUUGAUUACCAUUCUAGGGAGAGCCGUGGUGUAGUGGUUAGUGCAUUGGACUACUAACACAAAGGUUCCUGGUUCAAUUCCCAUCUGGGAUGAAAAUUUCAGGGACUUAAUUUUCGGCUCUCCCUUGGCACCAUUUGCGAGUAUGGUCUUGAGGAAACGAUGGUAGUCCAUAGGACGGGGAAGAUAAAUGGCUGACCCGUGUUAAGAGAGAGCCAUAUAUCUUGUACAUUUAAGACACCCUUGUAGAUUUCGAAAAAGAGCAGGCUAAUGCCGCUACAAGGCAGCACUCACACCCGCAAAGUGGAAAGGGAUUAAUAUAAGUUGCAAAACUUGUUUCCCAAUCCACUAUGAAUAAAUAUGUUUAAACCACCAUUCUAGGGUUAUGCCUCUUUACAAGUGGAAAAAUUGAAGAUUUUUUUUUGUUUCUGUUCUCUUAACUUAAGUUUGUCUCAACUAAAUUUAAUGAAAUGAUUAUAUAAUUCUUAGUACCUCUAAACACAGUUCAAGUAUAAUUUUUGGCAGCUUCACUUUUACAGUUCUUGAGUUAUGUCCCUUUUUAACGUUAUAUUCUAGUGGGGGCAUCAUCUGUGUCCCUUUGGACACAUUCCCCAUUUAUUUUUUUAGAAGUUACUAUUACCUGUAAUUAAGAAUUAAUUUUAACCAUGACAUUUUAUAUUUUAAUAUUUUAUGAUGUAUUUAAAUGAGUAGUUAUUGUUGCAAACUCCAUUAGAAAUUUGAAUUGAGAUCAGUUUUCGAAUAAGGAAAAGGGGGAGAUGAAAAAAAAUUUGGGGGUGUUCAAUUUUUCUGAUUUCAGAAAUAAAGAAAUUUUCUACAAACAUUUUUUUUGAGAGGAUUAAUAUUCAACAGCAAAGUGAAUCGCUCAAAAGCAAAAAAAAAAAUGUUUAAGUUCAUUAGACCACAUUCAUUCUGUAUCAGAAACCUAUGCUGUGUCAACUAUUUAAUCACAAUCCAAAUUCAGAGCUGUAUCAAGCUUAAAUGUUGUGUCCAUAGUCCAUACUUGGUCCAGCGUUCAGGGUUCAACCUCUGCAGUCGUAUAAAGCUGUGCCCUGCAGAGCAUCUGGUUAGCUACUAGUAUGGUGAAAUGCAUAGGAAAAUAUUUUGUUGAUGACUUCACAAAUUGAAUACAAAAAAGCAAGAAUAUUCAUUACUAGUCUAUUUCAGGGUGUUCUGUACCAACAAAUACACCAAAUUAAAUGUCAAGCAAUGGAGAGAUUACAUUGAUCUUCAUAGUCAUAAAUCUUUUAACUUUUAUACUACAUGUAGUUAUAUCAAAUAGAAUAGGUUGUUUUGUUUAUUAAGGUUAACUAUUUAGAUGAUUAACUUACUAAAUAGAAUUAACCCUACACAUGGCAGGUGCAUUUGACUCAAAACCAAAACCCAUAUUUUGAUCAGGAUCUUCCUAUAUUAACACAAAACGUACAUAUAAAGAAUGGUGUCCUUUAUUUUGAAUGAAGGGCAAUAUAUUGUUUGAUCAUGUAACUGCUGUGAAUUGUAACAAAUCUAUUUUUAUUGAUAUUUUUUAUUUUUAAUUUGUGUAUUUUGUAUUUCAGCUAUCAUUUUGCUCAAGUAUACCAUUACUGAUGUUACUAUUUGCCGUUCUAGUAGCAUUAUAUCCCACAUUAGCACAAAUUACCGGAACAACACCAUAAUCAACAUCAUGUGAAUGUUUGUAAAGGAGGUCAUAAUCAUCCGAGUGUUUGAAGACAUAGCAGAAAAUGUUUGCAUGUGAUAAUAUUCCAUAUGUAUAUAAUACAUUUGUAUAUGAGUUUGAAUGUUUGAGUAGAGUAAAUGUGUUUUCUAUGUGUAUAUUAUGUGCUUUAGAGAUGUAGGAUGUAUUGAUACAUAUAUUGUAAGAGUUGUGUAUGUGAAUGAAUAUGUUAUACUUCAAUACAUAUAUGUUACACUAGUUUCAUUUUUUAAACAUAAACUAUAAGCAAUAGUAUUUAUAAAUAAAGUGCUAUAUUACAAUAACUUAAAAAGUAUAUAAUGAUAUAAACAUGUAUAGAAGGAACUCUUUAUCUAUUUUGUUUUGGAAAGAAUUUUUUUUGUAUAUAAUUUGAAAUGGUACAAACAUAACUCUUAUAUUACCCAUACUGUACUAAGAAAAUAUUUGGAUGGAGGUUAUGCCGCAGUGUUCCAGCUAGACCUCUUUCUCAGGGCACAAUACCUUCCCUUCAUUUUGCACCCUCUGUGUCCUUUUUCCUAUUUUUUGAGGAAUAAAUAAUGUUUGGCUUAAGUAUCCUUCUUUGAAAUCCAAUUACAUAUUCCAAGUGCCCCAUUUCCUAUUUAGUUUAUGUGCUUAAUUGCACUUUUUGAUAUUUGGAUCUUACUCUUAUCUAAUGAUAGCUGGAACACUGAAUGGUUUGAAAAUGUCACAUAUCAUUAUGCUUUUGUUGUAAUUAUUUUAUUUGUUUCAACUGUUGAUUUACAAUCUGUUUUGUUAUCUUUAUGUCAGAAGAGGCAUUGGUUUUGUAACUUUGCUUGUUGAAAUAUAGUGCUAAAUGGAGGAUAUGUGCUGAGACUGUUGAUUAUGUUUUUCCUUAUAUGGUACAAAUGUUAUAAUGUGUGUGAAUUCAACUGUCUGCUUUAAAAAAUGAUUUAAAAUUAGCAAUAAAGUUAAAAUCAUAAGAAAACAUUUUUAAAAGUUUAAUAUUUAAGACCAGAAUAAAUUUUCAGAUCAUAAUUUUUGGACAGCUUGAUAUGUUCUUUCUCCUUUGUUAAAACUAGUUCUAAGUUGUAAGUGCAGUCUGCCAAAUUUCUUUGUUAUGUUAUUAAAUUUUUUAAAUGCUACAUAUAUACUGAUAAAAGAAUUAAUCAGUUUAAAAGUGAAGAUAUUCUAAAAUACAGGAAAAAAAAUACAGUUCCAAUAAAAGCAUGCUAAAAAAUUACAAAUGCUUUAAAAAGUAUUCCUGACUGACACUGUUAUCCGUUAUUUAGGUAUUAGAAUCCAGGACAGUUGUACAUGUUAAAUUGAUUUCUGUGAUAGAAUGUUUGUUAUUUGUAUGUUAUACUGUAGAAAAUUGAAAGUUUUUGUAAAAAAAAUGAAACCAUUAAAGUUACUUGGGAAAGUCUAUAAAUAGAAGAGGCAAUCUGAAGACAUGAAGAAAACAUGAUGAAUUUUGAUAUUCAUUAAAAAAAAAAGUAAAAACAUUUUUUCUAAAUGAUGUUGAGGGUAGCAAGCAGUGACAUUGUUUCAAUUUUCUAUGGUAGAGUUAGUUAAAUAAAGGAAUACUGUAUCCUUUGAUUUGACAAUUAAUUCUUUCAAUUGUCAUUAUACUGAUAUUCAGGGUGACAUUUGAUAUAAGUAGGUACAGGCUAUUUGUCAAUAAACAUCUGUUAAUAACAGAUCAUUUCAAAAUAUUUAAUAUCAUAUUUUCAAUAAAAAAUCAGUUAUUUAAAAGUGCACACACAAAAUUUUUUUUUAUAAAUGUUAGAAGACAAUAAUCAAAUGAUUUAAAAAAAAAGGUGAUAUUUAUAAAAUAAGUGCUUGAAAUUUAAAAAAAAAUAUAGAAAAAUCUAAAUCUGGUUUCUGUGCUAUUGAUAGGGAGUGUCUUUAAAAUAAUAAUUAAAGAUGUUUAUUGACGAAUUGCUUGUAUGUGCUCGCGCUAUAGUUCCACUCAGGUCCAUGUAGAUAGGAAGUUUCAUUAUGUAGAAUGUUUUGAAUUUUGUUUUUUUAUAAAUGGAAGUAGGACUACUUAAAAUGAUGGGGUGUAAAUGAAAACUACUUUGGCAACAUAUGGGAGUUCAACUUUUUUUCACUUGUUAUUUCCAUUACAGUUGCUUGUAGAGUGUAUGAUUCAAAAAGCACUGCCAAUGCUGCUUAUACAUUUUCUGCAUAAUUUUAGAAACCCAAGUGGUAGCAUUGUUUGACUGGUUCAAUAUCAAUGUUAUAAAGUCUCAUCAUUAUUUACAAAAACAUGAGGGGGCAUGGAAGAUUUGAUUUUUCUGUAGUGGUGGUUUCUGAUUGGUUGAGAAUGGGUGUAGGUAAGAGUGGCUUAACAUACAUGCAUCUUUAACGAAAGUGUAUUUGCUUUUAUUCUAUCUAGCUGCAAAAAUCAAUUGUAAUCUUUUUGUUAGAUUUUCAGCACUUUGAGACAUUAUUUAGAAGGAAGCUAUAUAUUUUUUCCUACUUUCCUACUUUUCUAGAAUAUCCUGCUUUCUUUGUGUAUAAAUAAUAUAUGUACAAGAAUUAUUCUGUUGCCAAAGUAAUGUAUUUAUGAAAUUUGUUGUUUUUGUUAAUACCAUAAUUGUUAUUUACUUUCUAUUUGGGUGUUAUCAUGGGACUAAAAUGGAAUCAAAGUUCGACUUGUUUGAAUUUUACCCUGGUUAAAGCCUGACUAAUUUGAAUAUGUGCCUACAGUUUACAAUACUAAAUUGAAUCUCAUUUUGGAGAACAGAAAAAGCAAUUUGUUAUAAUUAAUGCAGAAAUAUAUAAUUAGAUUUCAAUAAACAGAUUCAGUGUAUAUUAAGAAUAUUUUUAAUGUUACUUUCCUAACGAUGGGGAAGAUAUGAAAUAUCCUAAUCACAUUAUAACAUCACCAUAUGUAGGAAGUCCCAAAUGAUAACUAAUUUGUUAUUUUAUCACUGUCUCCUUUUUGUCAAUUUUAAGUGUCCAGCAUUUUGCGUGUAAUUGUAUACUAAUUUAAUUAUAUUUGUUGUAUAUCUAUAUAACAAUCACCACGACUUCUCUUGAAAAGGGCAGAUUUUUCCUGUCUGACUUUUUCUGUUAAAUUAUUGGAUUUAAGCUACUCAAGAUUUUAUGGACUUAAAGAAUAUAGACUUAUAGCAUGUUAUGGAAUUGUAUGUGUGCGAUCAUGAUUAAUGUGUGAUAAUUGAAAGAAAUGUCUUCCAUACAUAAUUUGUAUCUCUCAUUACACAUCACAUGUAUGUUGUGAUCAGGCCAGUUAAAGGGAACAAUAUUCCUGUUGGAUAAAACAUCAUCAAUAUUUUCAUAAAUAUUCACAUGUUAAAUCCGUCUUUUGAUAAUAAUUUGCUAAGAUAUUUUAAAUCAUUCAGUUAACAUAGAAGCAUCCAGUUUUGUGUACUUGAGUUAUUAUUACAUUGUGUAUGUUCUGUGUGUCCCAAAGAUCCAUUAGAAAAUGUGUGUCAUUAAAAAAUUCUGUAGGAGGAAAAUUUUGUCAUGUGCCAUUAAAAAUCCCUAAAUCAUAGAUAUUUAUCCAUUUGAAUAAUAUAAAACUGUCUCCUAUAACUUUUUUGUUCAGUGCAUUCAUUUUCUGUUCCCAUUAAAAAACAGGUGCUAGCUAGCUCUUGCUCAAAAAUAUAAAAGAGAUAAGUUAUAUGUACAAUAAAAAAAUUUAAAUACAGAAAUGAAUAAAAGUUGUAUUAUUAAAUUCAAAUACAACAUUAACAUUUAAAUUUUCAUCAAAAAUCCCAUUUGAGUUAACUGGGACACACAGUGGCUUGACAUAUCUAGUAUAUAUAGAUCACCCCUCACUGAAAAUGACAUUAUGCAUAAAAUAAGUCAACAGACUUUCAUUUUACUAUUCAUCAAAGUAUAAAAUUACAACUUUUAUUUUCUAGAAAUUCAUAAUUUUUAUUGCUUUCAGUGUCCUCCUUGUUUAAUUUUAUCAAUUUCCAAAAUAUUAAAAACAGAAAAUUGAAAAUGACAAUAGAACAGGCCCUAGAUUUAAAGAAACAGAUCUUUUUAAUUCCUUCCGUUAAUUUAGACUUGGAAGGUAAUCUUUAUCAUUGCUAAAUGUGUUAACUUGUUUUAUGCAUAAAACCUUGAUGUUUAUGUGUAAGAAUUGGCAUGGUGUAUUAGUAAUUUUCGGGCCACCUUAGUUUCUUCCUUUUGGUGAAGGGGCUUAUAUGGUGGCAGGCACUUUGUUAUAUCUGCUUCUGAAGCCUAAUAUCAUUUCUCAAAGGUAAAGGUUCAUAGUCUAUAACAUCAUUUUUACACCCUAUAGUUCUUCAAAUCAAUUACAACAGUCUUGAGUUAUUAGAAAAAUAACAUAGGAGCUAUAGUGAUAAAUAGAAACAUUUUAUUACAGUUAAAAAUUCAAUACACCAAUUUCAAGUUUAUAUGGCAUAGACAGAUAUGAAACAAAUUACUGUAAUUGGUAUGAAUUACAACAGAAAUUGUAAAAUCACAGACAGAAUGUUUAUAUUAUCAUAAUUCCUUAGAUCUUGGUCAACCUGCCUAAGAAUAGGCUUUGUCAACUUGCCUUUAUUGAUUUUUGCAAAGUCUCUGAACUUGAAAUUGGUGUAUUGUAAUAGAAUUUUUUUAUUUUGGUAAUGCAUAUGUAUACUGUUUAACCCUUUUCACUUUUCCCAGUGUAAUUAACAUUACAUCAGAGGGUAUCACUAAUAUUUGACCAUGUUUUUAUUAUUUAUACUGAACUGAGUAGACUGAACCUCUAUUACCUUUUCGCUGAGAAAUAUCAAAGGUUUCUAAGGAGUAAGAAAAGAAAAUGUGAAAUGGUAAGUUUAAUGUGUGAAGAACUGCUUAUAAAACUUAAAAGCAGCAAUGGUUAAAAAUGUGAGAGGUUUUAUUUUUUCACCAUUGAAGAGUAGCUGAUAAUUAUUUGAUUAAAAGUUCAAAACAAACUUUAUUAUCACUAAGAAAUAAUGAAAAAAAUAAUAUUUGUUAACUUAGGUUAAUUUGAAGAAACAAUCAUGUAUAGUCAGACUUCUAUAAUAUGAACUAGAAUUUCAAAGUGUACAUUACAGCUGUACUACUAUAUGAAUUGUUACUUAGUACUUUAAAAUUUGGUAGGUUAUUUAAUAGUAGUGAAGAAAGAUAUAGAAUGAAAGGAUUAAAAGACAGCCUGACUUAUUACUUAAAGCUCCUCUCUUAAUGCUGUAGAUUUUGUUAUUUUGCUGUUUAAUAUAAUGCUUUGUCUGUUGUCUUGUUGAAGCAUUGUACAAAAAAUCAGUGGAAUAUUAUGUUUCAGUAUUGAAAUUUAUUUAAAGAUAAAAAGCUGUUCUGAUACAUUGUAAAAUUCACAUUUUUGUUUAUAAAAGUUUAUUAUUUAAAAUAAACCUAUGCAGAAUGCACCUGGAUGUAGAAUUGUGUUAUAUAUCACCUGAAUCUGAAUAAGAAUUUUGAAAUCAAACAAAAAGUCCUAUUUAUUUAUACAUGUGUAUUGAGAUAUCACAUUACAUUGAUAACAAGGCACUAUUUUGCUCAUCUCUUUGGUUUUAUUUUAAGGCCGUUCAUGUUUUACUCAUCAAGGAUUUUAUCAGAAUGUCACCAUUUGAGACAUUUAGGAAGAAAUAGGUAUAAGCCAUUUAUUUCCAGACUUACAUCAGCUGAAACUGAUAGUCAUUCAUUAUACUUAAAUACAGUGUAAAAGUAACACUGGAAUUUUAGGAACAUAG